AGCUAGCAUAAGCUAGCUAUCUUAUAUUUAUAUAAGAGGCGAACGAGGGGAAGUGAAACAUCUCAGUACCCUUAGGAAUAGACAUCAAUUGAGAUUCCCCUAGUAGCGGCGAGCGAACGGGGAGAAGCCGAUUAAURCUAAUGUAGAAGAACAGCGUGGGAAAGCUGACCGUAGUAGGUGAUAGUCCUGUAUUCGAAACAUUAGCAUUAACAUAUUAAGUAGAGCGGGGCACGAGAAAUCCUGUUUGAAGAUGGGGGGACCAUCCUCCAAGGCUAAAUACUCCUGACUGACCGAUAGUGAACCAGUACCGUGAGGGAAAGGCGAAAAGAACCCCUGUGAGGGGAGUGAAAUAGAACCUGAAACCGUGUGCGUACAAGCAGUGGGAGCCUUAAUUUAUUAGGGUGACCGCGUACCUUUUGUAUAAUGGGUCAGCGACUUAUAUUCUGUAGCAAGGUUAACCGUUUAGGGGAGCCGUAGGGAAACCGAGUCUUAAUAGGGCGAUUAGUUGCAGGGUAUAGACCCGAAACCGAGUGAUCUAUCCAUGAGCAGGUUGAAAGUGCCGUAACAGGCACCGGAGGACCGAACCCACUGUCGUUGAAAAGCCAGGGGAUGACUUGUGGAUAGGGGUGAAAGGCUAAUCAAACUCGGUGAUAGCUGGUUCUCCCCGAAAGCUAUUUAGGUAGCGCCUCGGACGAACACCAUUGGGGGUAGAGCACUGUUUCGGCUAGGGGGUCAUACCGACUUACCAAACCGAUGCAAACUCCGAAUACCGAUGAGUGAUAUCCGGGAGACACACAGUGGGUGCUAACGUCCAUUGUGGAGAGGGAAACAACCCAGACCGCCAGCUAAGGCCCCAAAUUCCUAGUUAAGUGGGAAACGAGGUGGGAAGGCAUAGACAGCUAGGAGGUUGGCUUAGAAGCAGCCAUCCUUUAAAGAAAGCGUAAUAGCUCACUAGUCGAGUCGGCCCGCGCGGAAGAUGUAACGGGGCUCAAACUAGGAGCCGAAGCUGCGGAUUUGAAUUUGUUUUCAAGUGGUAGGGGAGCGUUGUGUAAGCCUGUGAAGGUGUGUUGUAAAGCAUGCUGGAGGUAUCACAAGAGCGAAUGCUGACGUGAGUAACGAUAAUGCGAGUGAAAAGCUCGCACGCCGGAAGAUCAAGGGUUCCAGUCCAACGUUAAUCGGGGCUGGGUGAGUCGACCCCUAAGGCGAGGCCGAAAGGCGUAGUCGAUGGGAAAUCGGUUAAUAUUCCGAUACUUGUUUAUAAUGCGAUGGAGGGACGGAGUAGGUUAUGUCAGCCUGGCGUUGGUUGUCCAGGUGAAAGGAUGUAGGCUUACAGUUUAGGCAAAUCCGGACUGUAAUACGGCUGAGAUCUGAUAGCAAGCGGUACUUGUACCGUGAAGUGGCAAAUACCAUGCUUCCAGGAAAAGCUUCUAAGCAAUAGUUAUAAACGAAUCGUACCCUAAACCGACACAGGUGAUCAGGUAGAGAAUACCAAGGCGCUUGAGAGAACUCUGCUGAAGGAACUAGGCAAAAUGGUACCGUAACUUCGGGAGAAGGUACGCUGCCGAUGGUGAUAGGACUUGCUCCUUGAGCUGUUGGCAGUCGCAGAUACCAGGCUGCUGCAACUGUUUAUUAAAAACACAGCACUCUGCAAACACGAAAGUGGACGUAUAGGGUGUGAUGUCUGCCCGGUGCUGGAAGGUUAAUUGAUGGGGUUAGCGUAUGCGAAGCUCUUGAUCGAAGCCCCAGUAAACGGCGGCCGUAACUAUAACGGUCCUAAGGUAGCGAAAUUCCUUGUCGGGUAAGUUCCGACCUGCACGAAUGACAUAAUGAUGGCAGCGCUGUCUCCAGCAGAGACUCAGUGAAAUCGAAAUCGCAGUGAAGAUGCUGUGUACCCGCGGCUAGACGGAAAGACCCCGUGAACCUUUACUACAGCUUUACAUUGAACUUUGACCUGACUUGUGCAGGAUAGGUGGGAGGCUUUGAAGCCGAGACGCUAGUCUUGGUGGAGCCAUCCUUGAAAUACCACCCUGGUCAUGUCGGGGUUCUAACUCAGGUAUAACAAUACCGAGGACAAUGUAUGGUGGGU
rnacentral:rRNA from 1 species